UGUCUCUUAGGGGAGUUCACACUCGUGCUCCAGGUCACAAUGACUGUCUCUUAGGGGAGUUCACACUCGUGCUCCAGGUCACAAUGACUGUCUCUUAGGGGAGUUCACACUCGUGCUCCAGGUCACAAUGGCUGUGUCUUAGGGGAGUUGCGGUGCUGAAAGGACAGUCAUGGAUUAAAAGGCAGCAAGGGCUUAAAGAGGACAACACUGAAUAAACUGAACUAAGGGUCUCUAUUCUCUGGAAAGAAACAGAACACUACCAAACUCCUUCUGAGAGGUAAGAGCCAAAGAGACCCAGCGAGAGGAAUUGAAGUGCCUAACAGCACAUCAAAGGCAAACACUAAAGUAUGUUUACUUAAUAUGUAAACUGAAUUUAAAGCAGGUGUGGUGGCAUAUGCUGGUAAUCCGAGCCCGGAGGAGGAUUGACAAGAGAACACGGCCAACAAGGACUACAUAGAAAAUACGAGGCGUGGGACGGGAGAGAUGUUUCAGCAGUUAAGCGCACUGGCUGCUCUUCCAGAGGAUUCAGGUUCAAUUCCCAGCAACCAUGUCAAUAACUCUAGUUCCAAGGGGUCCAAUGCCCCCUUCUGGCCUUCUUGGGCAGUAUAUGCACAUACCUGCAG